GACGAACGCUGGCGGCGUGCCUAAUACAUGCAAGUUGAGCGCUUAAGGUUGGGUCUUGUUCCAACUGGCUGAGCAGCGAACGGGUGAGUAACGCGUGGGGAAUCUGCCUUUGAGCGGGGGACAACAUUUGGAAACGAAUGCUAAUACCGCAUAAAAACUUUAAACACAUGUUUUAAGUUUGAAAGAUGCAAUUGCUUCACUCAAAGAUGAACCCGCGUUGUAUUAGCUAGUUGGUGAGGUAAAGGCUCACCAAGGCGAUGAUACAUAGCCGACCUGAGAGGGUGAUCGGCCACAAUGGGACUGAGACACGGCCCAAACUCCUACGGGAGGCAGCAGUAGGGAAUCUUCGGCAAUGGACGAAAGUCUGACCGAGCAACGCCGCGUGAGUGAAGAAGGGUUUCGGAUCGUAAAACUCUGUUGGUAGAGAAGAACGUUGGUGAGAGUGGAAAGCUCAUCAAGUGACGGUAACUACCCAGAAAGGGACGGCUAACUACGUG
rnacentral:rRNA from 1 species